AACAGGAAACAGCUUGCUGCUUCGCUGUACGAGUGGCGGACGGGUGAGUAAUGCCAAGGAAAACUGCCUGAUGGAGGGGGAUAACUACUGGAAACGUUUAGCUAAUACCGCAUAACGUCGCAAGACCAAAGAGGGGGACCUUCGGGCCUCUUGCCAUCGGAUGUGCCCAGAUGGGAUUAGCUAGUAGGUGGGGUAACGGCUCACCUAGGCGACGAUCCCUAGCUGGUCUGAGAGGAUGACCAGCCACACUGGAACUGAGACACGGUCCAGACUCCUACGGGAGGCAGCAGUGGGGAAUAUUGCACAAUGGGCGCAAGCCUGAUGCAGCCAUGCCGCGUGUAUGAAGAAGGCCUUCGGGUUGUAAAGUACUUUCAGCGGGGAGGAAGGGAGUAAAGUUAAUACCUUUGCUCAUUGACGUUACCCGCAGAAGAAGCACCGGCUAACUCCGUGCCAGCAGCCGCGGUAAUACGGAGGGUGCAAGCGUUAAUCGGAAUUACUGGGCGUAAAGCGCACGCAGGCGGUUUGUUAAGUCAGAUGUGAAAUCCCCGGGCUCAACCUGGGAACUGCAUCUGAUACUGGCUAGCUUGAGUCUCGUAUAGGGGGGUAGAAUUCCCAUG
rnacentral:rRNA from 1 species